CAUCAAGGGGCGGUGCGUUGUCGGCUGUUUCGCGAGCAAGGGUUUCGUCUCCUCCUCUCGACCUCCUCCUCUGAUCCCAAUCCCUUCCUCCCCCCCGAUCGCCCGAUUCCCUUCCUCCUCCGCCGGUAAGUCUCCGAAUCCUCGCGAUUGGAUCCUUUUUCCGCUAGAUUCCACAAAAAUUUGAGGUUUUUCCCGUCGAUUUUGGCCUCGGAUUCGUCGGGUUCGGUCCGGGGGUCGGGAAACCCUAGAUCUCGCGCGCUCUCCGUGUUUUGAUCCGUUUUUCGGUUUGGAAAAGGGUGGAUUUUGCGAUUGGAGCGGGGAUCUGGGGUGGUUUCGAUCGGAUCUGGGGGGAGUCACUGGGGAUCAGCUCGAUUUGGUGGUGGAUUUGAUGGAUUGAUCCGUUGUGGUUUGAAUUGGGGCAAGGGGUUGGCUUUUGCGUUUAGGAAGGGGGCGGAGAGGAGAUUAGGUUAGAGCUUGUUGGCGGAGUCGGUUUUGGUGUCGGAUUUGAUGGUGUCACCUUCUCCUCCUCCUCCGCCGCCGCCGCCGCCACCGCCGGCGGCGGUGGAGGAUCAGACGGAUGAGGAUUUCUUUGACAAGCUCGUGAUCGACGACGACGAGUUUGGCGUCGAGGGAUCUCAUGCCGUAUCGAAGGAUAUGGCUAGGGAUUUCUCCAAUCUCAGCCUCGGCAACAUCGGAGCCUCUUUGGAUGAUUUGGGUGAUUCGGGUUUCCCUUCAGAAAUCAAACCCACAAAGGAAAACAAUGGCCUUCCUCCUGCCUCGGAUCCACCCAAAGAUGAUGGUGUUCUGAAACACGAGGAAAGUGGCCCCUUUGGUUCACAGGAGAGCAUCGGAGAGGUUGCAUCGCCGGGCUCGGUGGUUGUGAAGGGUGACGGAUCCAAGGGGACCAGCGUGAAGGAGGUCCAGUGGAGUGCUUUCUCGUCCGAUACACAGCCCUUUGGUCAAGGGGGCUUCGGAUCCUAUUCAGAUUUUCUGAAAGAAGAUGGUUCUUCGGAAAAUUUCAAAAGUGAUACCAACGUCAACGGCAGUUUUGUUGAAAACCCAGUUGAGAAUCAAAAUCUUUAUGGUGGUUACUAUGAUCAGCAAGAAACACAAUAUUACGGGUCGACUAAUGAGCAGGUGCCUGAUGCAAAUGAUGCACAGUAUUGGGAGAAUCUUUACCCUGGAUGGAAGUAUGAUGCAAGCACUGGACAGUGGUAUCAAGUGGAUAGCAUCGAUACUACUACUGCUGCUGCUGCUGCUUCCACGAAUACCCAGUGGGACAACUAUACUGCUACAAGCAUGGAUUCCCAGGUGUAUGGUCAAAAUUCUACUGCUACUACUGCUGCUCCUGCUGCUCCUGCUAAUGAAUCUUUUGAAAUGAAAUCAGAUGUUUCUUAUCUUCAACAAACAACUCAAUCCGUUUUAGAUACCAUUGCAGAAGAGAGUACCACGAAUAGUAUUACUAAUUUGAAUCAGGAGUAUCAGGCCAGCACAGAAUACCCACCGAAUAUGGUUUUUGAUCCUCAGUACCCAGGAUGGUAUUAUGAUACAAACACACAACAGUGGUACACUCUGGAAUCAUACAUGCAGACCACACAGGUGACAUCUAGUACAGUUCAGGACCAGGUGAAUCAAGACUAUAGUGCUUCAGCUGGCUUCGGAGAACAGCAUCAGAACCAAAAUUAUGCUGUAGUAGGUCAAUUGGAGCAAAGCACUAUUCAGGGUACAGGUAACCAAGAGUUUGGAGGGGAUUGGAAUAACUAUAAUCAGCAGACAAUGUGGCAGCCUGAAGCAGCUGGCAAUAAUAAUACUGAAAGUUUGUCAGGAAAUCAGCUUUCUAGGAGUUUCUAUGGUUCUAUGGGGAAUUCAGUAGGUCAGACAAACCAACAAGUGAGUUUCAAAACUUUCGAACCUGUUACAACUCAUAAUUACGGAAGCACUAAUGGUGUGGCUAGUUCUCAGAGCUUUGUUCCUUCAGAAAGCAUGUACCAGUUCAAUCAGCCAAAGCUGGAGCAGAAUCAGCAAGCUUAUUUAUCAAACAGUUACUAUGGCAAUCAGAAUUCUAUGAACUUCUCUCAGCAAUCAUUUCAAAAUGCGGAUCCAUCCUAUUCUCAGUUCUCUUAUAUACCUCAUGAAGGGAGGUCGUCUGCUGGACGCCCAGCGCAUGCUUUAGUUGCUUUUGGAUUUGGUGGUAAACUCAUAGUGAUGAAAGAUGCGAGCUCUUUUAGCACAAAGCUGGACUAUGGAAACCAGGGUACUUCUGGUGGUACGGUCUCAAUACAUAGCUUAUCAGAGAUUGUGAUGAAUAAAACUGAUGCUUCUAGCUUUAUAAGUGGGGGUGCCUUCGGUUAUUUCCAAGCUUUAUGCCAGCAAUCCUUUCCUGGUCCACUUGUUGGUGGGAACGCUGCAACAAAGGACGUCAACAAAUGGCUUGAUGAGAGGAUCAUGAGCUGCGAAUCUAUCAGCACAGAUGUCCAAAAAGGAGAAUUUUUAAGGCUGCUUCUUUCUUUGCUUAAAAUAUCAUGUCAGCAUUAUGGAAAACUUCGAUCUCCUUUUGGGUCUGGUCCGUCAGUAGAGGAAAAUGAUGGUCCAGAAAUGGCAAUAACUAGGCUCUUUGCAUCUGCUAAGAAAGCCAGUGCUCAUCUCAAUGAUUACGGCUCUGUCACACAUUGUAUGCAAAGCCUUCCCUCUGAAAGCCAGAUCCGGGCAACUGCUGUUGAGGUACAAAACCUUCUAGUUUCUGGUAGAAGAAAAGAGGCUCUCCAGUAUGCACAGGAUGGUCAGUUGUGGGGAGCUGCCCUUGUUCUUGCUGCUCAGCUUGGCGAGAAGUUCUAUGUUGAUACUGUGAAGAAAAUGGCUCAUCGCCAGUUUGUAUCAGGAUCACCUUUAAGAACAUUAUGCCUUCUUAUCGCUGGGCAACCUGCAGAUGUAUUUUCGGGAGAUAGCCCAACCAAUAGCACUUAUGGUGUGUUAAAUGCUCUACAACAGCCUAUGCAGAAUCAAACCAGUGGCAUGUUAGAUGACUGGGCAGAGAAUUUGGCUAUAAUAACUGCGAAUAGAACCAAGGAUGACGAACUUGUGAUGAUUCAUCUAGGAGAUUGCCUUUGGAAAGAGAGAGGGGAGGUAACUGCAGCGCACACCUGCUAUUUAGUUGCGGAAGCAAAUUUUGAGGCCUACUCUGAGAGUGCAAGGCUCUGCCUCGUUGGUGCAGAUCACUGGAAAUGUCCUCGAACAUUUGCGAGCCCUGAAUCUAUUCAGAGAACAGAGUUAUAUGAAUACUCCAAAGUGCUCGGCAAUUCUCAGUAUAUCCUUCUACCAUUCCAGCCAUACAAGCUAAUCUAUGCCCACAUGCUUGCCGAAGUGGGGAAGAUUUCUGAUUCAUUACGGUAUUGCCAAGCGUCUUUAAGGAUGCUAAAAUCAUCUGGCCGCGCUCCUGAAGUAGAAACAUUGAAAUCGUUAUUUUCAUCCCUUGAGGAGCGAAUACGUACCCACCAGCAGGGUGGAUACAACACAAACCUUGCCCCAGCUAAAUUCGUAGGGAAAAUCUUUACCUCAAUCGACAAGUCGAUCCAUCGCAUGAUUGGGGCGCCGCCUCCACCUCUUCCCCCAAUGCCUCAAGGCAGUGUGAGCAGUGUGAAUGAUAAAGAACGCUAUGCUGUGGCCCCACAGAAGUUUGUAAAUAGCCAAUCAGCGAUGGCGAUGUCAUCUCUGAUGCCAUCAGCAUCGGUCGAGUCGAUAAGUGAGUGGACUGGGGAUAAUAGCGGUGUUAGGAAGAGUAUGCACAAUAGAAGUGUUUCAGAGCCAGAUUUUGGUAGAAGCCCGAAACAGAAGGCAGGAUCGGUUGGUACACAAAGCAAAUCAGCCGAAUUGGGUAGUUCACGGUUCGGGAGGUUUGGCUCUACGCUUCUUCAGAAGACCAUGGGGUGGGUCUCCAGAUCCCACCGACAGGCGAAACUUGGUGAAAGUAACAAGUUCUACUAUGACGAAAAGCUGAAGAGGUGGGUGGAGGAAGGUGCUGAAACUCCAGCCGAGGAAGCUGCUCUACCACCUCCUCCCACCACAACCUCUUUCCAGAAUGGUAUGCCGGAUUAUAACACUAAUAUUAGCAGUCACCAUGCAGUAAAAAGCGAACUCCACACUGCUAAUGGAAUCCCUGAAGCAAAACCCCCGAAUCUGUCUGAAUUUAGUCCGGGAAUCCCACCAAUUCCGCCUAGCCAGAACCAGUUCUCAGCUCUCGGCAGAGCGGGUGUUCGGUCAAGAUAUGUGGAUACAUUUAACAAGGGCGGAGGUGGUGGAACUGCGACAAACCUUUUCCAAUCACCUCCUGCUGCUCCAUCUGUAAAGCCUGCAGUAAACGCUAAGUUCUUCAUUCCCUCCGCUCCUGUCACCGUUGACGAAAAGAAAACCAAACAACCCUUAGAAACCAGCCAAGAACCUCCCACCACCUCGGAAGAGCUGUCCACAUCAGCAGUAACUGAAGUCUCAUUCUCUUCGCCGCCAUCUGCUUCAUCAUCCUCACCAUCGAUGCAACGGUUUCCGAGCAUGGAUAACAUGACUCCUUACGGAAACAGAAGGCAAGGACCUGUGUCGGAGCGCGCGAAUGGCCCUAUAUCAAGAACUCGAGCUGCUUCUUGGAGCGGCAAUUUUGGGGACUCAUUCAACACCGUGAGCACGGAAAGUAAGCCUAACUCGUUGGAUGGACAAACUGUUCCGUCUUCGUUCAUGCCCGCCAAGUCUCUGCAGUUUAGUGGAAGCUCUUUGUCGGACGAUCUUCAUGAGGUGGAGCUCUAACAUUUGGCCAUCAUCAUUACGGGGAUGGCCGUGCUUAAUUAUCGGAGCCUCUCUCUCAUCCUCUGUCCCAAGAUCUCCCAAGAAAGUCAAAUGGGGCUCGAGUCAGGUCGUCCUUGCGGUUCACUAACCUUGCGUUGAGCUCCGUUGGUUCUUGCGGUUUUUUCGGAAUCUGGAAACCGAAGCUACAGGUUGAGACUUUGCGGCUUUUAGGGAAUCUGGAGAGACAAAGCCACAAGUUUAGAAUGUGGACUGUUUGAGUGUUUCUGGUUACUGAGCUUCGUUGUCGGUCUUGUUGUUGUUCGGAAAAGAAAAGCAAGGCAUUAUGUUGGUGUUGGGGGUUCAGCUUCUGCUUUUACUGCUGUAGGAAGCUGCUGAGCGAAUUGUAAUGUAGUUUUUUGUGUAAUUUUGAGGAACCAAACUUGAACGGUGUUGCAGCAGAUAUUUCAGCAGUUCCACAUCUGCAUCAGAAGUAGGGAAAGGUAUCUGUAUCUGAUAGAAGAACAAAGUCAAAAAAAAGGGUGCAAAAUGAAAAAGGGGUUGACUUGUCAAA